rnacentral:lncRNA from 1 species
ACGGCAGCAGAAAAAUGCCAUGUUUUUCCUAUCAGAUGAACAAACUUUUAAAAGAAUAUAAUGUUUAUAUUGGUUAGGAUGUGGAGAAAUGGAUAGAGUAGAAGGGUGUAUUGGUAUUACUUUAAAGGGGAUUUGGCAUGAUAUUGAAAUUAUAAAUACUCUUCAAGUUAAAAAUUCUGCUUCUUGUCAUUUAUCCUAGAGAAACGCUUGUACAUGGGCACAAAGAGUCAUGUAAAAGGACAUUCAUUGCUUCAUAACUGCAAUCAUGAAAGAUCAAAACCAAUCUAAAAAUCAGCAACAGGAGAACAAUGACAUAAAUUGUGACUUAUUUAUAGCAUGAAAUAUGUUGCAGCAGUUAAAGAGAACAAGUUAAAUCUAAUAUGAAAGGUUGUCAAGGACAUACGAUUUAGUGAGUGGGGGCGGAGUAAACUAUGGCAUAGAAAUACAUCAUAUGAUAUGGUUUAUGUAUGAACAAAAAUAUUAACGCAUAAAAUGCAUUGAAAAGGGUCUGGAAGGAUCUACCUGAAACUAGUAACAGUGUCUACCUCCAGAGGGAAAGACUGGUAUUGAGGCGGUGGUCAAGAUGGAUUUUGCUUAUCUUACUGUUUUAACUGAAAGUGGGUUCAUGUAUUACUCAUACAUUUAAAAUAUAUAUAUAAUAAAAAGCAUUAGGAAAAAAAGCCAAAGUUCUCAAACAGGUUAAUCACAAAAGAAAAAAUAUAAAUGGCAAAAGAAAAAGUGAGAAAAAGUUCCAAAAAUAUUUUUGAAGAAAAUUUUUCAAGGAUUAUUAAUAGCUCUCUCCUUGGAUGAUGAAACUAUGAAUGAAUUUUUUAAACUUCUCUUUCUACUCUUCCAUAUUUUUAAAGUUUUCUAUAGUGGAAACACAUAUAAGAAAUGUUUAAAAGGCUGAGAAAUGGCUGGUAAAUCCUAACUAGCAUGUUGUCACCUUUAAAUCUUACUCUGACAGACAGCAUAUAGUCCAUUUGGAGUAUGUGGAAAUUUAUGAUGAAAAAUUCCCAUGGAAAAGUGAUAUUUGAGGUGAGUGGCCCUGUCCUGAUGUCAUAUGACAGACAAACACACUGAUGUGUUGGAAACCAAUUCUAAAAAAUUCUACAUUUUAAUUAUUUUUCUUAAAGCCCUGAUUUGUAGUGUUUGCUGAUUUCCAUAGUGUUAUAAUUUGAAUUGUGUCCUCAAAAAGAUAUGUUGAAAUCUUAACUCCCAGAAGCUCAGAAUGUGGCCUUAUUUGGAAAUAGGGUAAUUGCAGAUAUAAUUAGUUAAAAUGAGGUCAUACUGGAGUGGGAUGGGCUCUUAAUACAACUAGUGUCCUUAUAAGAGGAGGAGAAGAGACACAGACAGACACACCCACCAAGAAUGCCACGUGACUCUGGAGGUGGAGAUUAGAGCAACAUGUCUGCAAACCAAGGAGUGGCAGGGAUUGACGCCCCCAUCAGAAGCUAGGAAGAGGUAAAGAAGACUUCUACCCAGGAUCUCAGAGGAAACAUAGCUCUGCUGACCCCGGUUCCAGAUUUCUGGCCUCCAGAACUAGAAGAGAAUACAUUUCUAUUGUUUAAAGCCACACACUUUGUGGUACUUUGCCAUGGUAGCCUAGGAAACUAAUACACAUGGUGUAAAUAGAGGUUGAGUAUCUCUAUUCCGAACAUCCAAAAUCCAAAAUGUUCCAGAAUCUGAAACUUUUUGAGUGCCAACAUGAUACAAGUGGAAAAUUUCACACCCACCCUCAUGGGAUGAGUCGCAGUCAAAAUGCAAUCAAUGCACAAUAGCAAACAUAGAGAAUCAACCUAAGUGUUGAUCAGUGGAGGAUUGAGUGAAGAAAAUGUGAUGUAUACUCCAUGGAAUACUAGUCAGCCAUAAAAAAGAAUGAAAUCAUGUCUCUUGCAGCAGCAUGGAUAGAACUGGAGGCUGCUAUCUUAAGUGAAAUAUAACAGAAACAGAAAGUCAAAUAUCACAUGUUCUCACUUCUAAGUGCGAGCUAAAUAACAUGUACACAUGGACAUAGAGAGUGGGAUAAUAGACAUCAGAGACUCAAAAAGGUAGGAGGGUAGGCAGGGUGAGAGACAAAGAAUCACCUAUUAGGGACAACAUGCACUCAUCUAGUGAGGGUUUCUCUAAAAGCCCACAUUUCACCACUAUGCUAUAUAGCCAUGUAAGGUAACUACAGUUGUAGCUCCCAAAUCUAUAAAAGUAAAAAUAAUUUUUAAAAAACUUGGUUUCAUGCAUGAAAUUACUAAAAAUAUUGCAUAAAAUGACGCUUGAGUCUCUGUUUAGAAGGUGUACGUGAAACAUAAAGGAAUUUGUGUUUAGACAUGGGUACCAUCCCAAGAUCUCUCAUUAUGCAUAUGCAAAUAUUCCAAAGUCCAAAAUCCAAAACACUUCUGGUCCCAAGCGUCUCAGAUAGGGGAUGCUCAACCCAUCCAUCUUGGCCAAGUAACAUGACUCCCCUGAAUGCAGGGCUGGGAUCCUGCGUGCUCCUGUUCUCAUGAGCCAGGGUGUUCCAGCACAGGGCAGAACGGAAGGCUGCUAAUCUAAGGCAUGGAGAGUUCUGAGUUUGUCCAGAGAAGAAUCUGACAUAGGUUUGACUGAAAAUCUUUGGUGUAGAAUUAUCAUCAAUGGACAUUGUCCUAUUUUGUAUGCAUUUUACCUUUUAAAGUCUCCAUGUUGGGUUCCAGGAAUACAUUAACCUAAUUCAGUUCCAGAGACACAAAUGAGAUCAUGAAUGCAAACCUGCCGGAUGACUAUUCAAAUAUCAAUGACAACAUGCAGAAAUACAGUUCCAGUUGCACUGUUGAGACGAAUUCCCAUGUGUAUGUACAUGGUUUCAGCUGGGAGUUUUAAAGCCACUCAGCAUUGAAAUAGCCUGGAUCAAGACAGACAAACACACAAUGAAACUGCACACAAAUAGUAGUGUCAGGACACUGUGGUCUUUCUGCUGAACCUCUCAUCUUUUUUUUUU